rnacentral:tRNA from 1 species
GCGAACGUGGCGGAAUGGUAGACGCGCUGGUCUCAGAAGCCAGUGGGUAACUCUGUGGGGGUUCGAGUCCCCCCGUUCGCA